rnacentral:rRNA from 1 species
UUAGCGGAAGUUUUCGGAUGGAAGCGGAUAUGACUUAGCGGCGGACGGGUGAGUAACGCGUGGAUAACCUGCCUCAUACAGGGGGAUAACAGUUAGAAAUGACUGCUAAUACCGCAUAAGCGCACAGGACCGCAUGGUCCGGUGUGAAAAACUCCGGUGGUAUGGGAUGGAUCCGCGUCUGAUUAGCUGGUUGGUGAGGUAACGGCCCACCAAGGCGACGAUCAGUAGCCGACCUGAGAGGGUGGCCGGCCACAUUGGGACUGAGACACGGCCCAAACUCCUACGGGAGGCAGCAGUGGGGAAUAUUGCACAAUGGGGGAAACCCUAAUGCAGCGACGCCGCGUGAGUGAAGAAGUAAUUCGUUAUGUAAAGCUCUAUCAGCAGGGAAGAAAAUGACGGUACCUGAGUAAGAAGCCCCGGCUAACUACGUGCCAGCAGCCGCGGUAAUACGUAGGGGGCAAGCGUUAUCCGGAUUUACUGGGUGUAAAGGGAGCGUAGACGGCAGUGCAAGUCUGGAGUGAAAGGCGGGGGCUCAACCCCCGGACUGCUCUGGAAACUGUACGGCUGGAGUGCAGGAGAGGUAAGUGGAAUUCCUAGUGUAGCGGUGAAAUGCGUAGAUAUUAGGAGGAACACCAGUGGCGAAGGCGGCUUACUGGACUGUAACUGACGUUGAGGCUCGAAAGCGUGGGGAGCAAACAG